UUUUUUUUUUUUAUUUCUUUUUCUAGAUGAUAGAAAGAAAAUAGAUUGUUCUAAUGAUGUGAAAAUUUGUAUUUUAUUAUAAUUACAUGAUUUUUUUUUCUAUAACAAAAAAUAUUCUAUUUUUUCUUUAAAUAAAAAAAUUUGAGUGUGUGAUUUGUAAAAACUAGACUUAGUUUAGAAGAUUGAAUUGUGGUUUCCUUGUUUCAUUGUUGUGAACUUGUGAUAUAGUUUAUCCUAUAUAUGUAAGAGAUUAGAUUAGAAAACUUCAAACCUAAUUGAAUGGAA
rnacentral:misc_RNA from 1 species